rnacentral:lncRNA from 1 species
AGUAUAUUCCAUUUUGGAGAAAGAGGUUUUUCAUUUUUAUAUACGAAGGAGGGAAAGUGUCAAAUAUGGUAGUUAAUUAAUUGCGACUUUGAUAUCAUCGCGUACCCGAAACCGUUUGCUCUUGUUUUUGUUUGUUGUAGUAGGGUCGUUUUUAUUUUGUUACCAAACAUGCUUAAUGAAAGGCUAAGCUAAGUAUAUACUCUGUUUGGUAUUGCUAUUUCUAUGCUAGCAAAGUGGUGGAACUUCUAUGGCUACACCUUUUGGGGGACUAAAAUGAAAAAUUUUGGAACCAAAAAACAUAUUUAACCAUUUAUUUUUUUUUGUAAGUAACAAAAUAAUAAUAUAGUAGUGGUUUUUAUUUUUAAAAUUACUAAUAAAACAAGUGAAAUGUUGGAAAGAUCAGAACUUCCAUCACUUUAGAAAUUGUCAAGUGUUUCAUUGAAGGGUAUUAGAUGUCCAAAAAUAAUGUAACUGAACUAAAGUGAGUCAUUUAACUAAAUCAACCAAGUCAUUUUUAAUGCUGUGAGAGUAAAAGUCACUUUUGAACCGAGCCAAAUGCAAAACGGCUCCAAUCCCGUUAGAAAAGAAUUAUUCAGUUUGCAAGAAGAUACACAUGUGACAUGUUUUCCUUUUCCCGAUGUCUAACCAAAUUUGAAAUUCAAAUUAUUUUUCCAUCUCUUCACUUAUUCAAAAUUCUAUUUCAUCUUCACUCAUUUUCAUUUUAUUCACUUCCCUUUCUUCCAAAUUAACACAUGUUCUCUUCUUUUUUCAGAUUUUUGUUUUUCUUCAUGCAAAAAGGUUUUAAUACAAACAUUAUUGAUGAAUGAUUUUUUUUAUUGGAUAAAUGGUUUUUUUUAUUUUAAUGAAAAAUUACAAAUAUUUUGUAAUAAAAUCCUUUGAUGAAUAAAAUCAAUUACUGAUAUAAAUUUNNNNNNNNNNNNNNNNNNNNNNNNNNNNNNNNNNNNNNNNNNNNNNNNNNNNNNNNNNNNNNNNNNNNNNNNNNNNNNNNNNNNNNUAAGUUAUAACUAACAUAAAUUUUAACUAUCAUAUACGGGAUAAGCUAUCACUGAUCAAAAUUUCAAAAUAAUUAUCAUAUAAAUUUUAACUAUCGUAUACUAGACAAAUUAUCACUAAUAAAAAUUUCAAGGAUUAGUAUGACAAAUACCAUAACAAUAACCGGAAAAAAACAAUUAUGCCAAGGAUCAAGUUUCACGCAUGAAUAUGGAGAUCUGUUCAACAUAAAAGUCUUUCAUACAUAUUUUUGUCAAAAAAAAAAAAAAAACUUUAAUACAUAUUUUAAAUGAGGUUAAAAAAUAACAUAAUUUUCAUUUACACCUAAAUUGUAAUUGCUAUAAUUUUCUAUUCACAAAUCUUAACUGUUUCUCGCGUUUCGUACGACUCGUGCGAUAGCACGAGUCUAUUACUAGUUAGCUUCUAAGAUUAUGUUUGGAUUCAAUUCUUGAGAAGCCAGAAUUGAUUCUACACGUGUAGAAUUGAUUUUGCUUUGUUUGGUUUCUCAAAAGUAGAAUUGAUUCUGCCUCCAAAAUUGGUUUUACUUGAAGCUAGAAAUCGUAGCUUCCGAUUAUAAAAUUGAUUUUUACACUCGAAUUCUUUAUUCAACUUACUUUUUUGUAUGAAUAUAUUCAAACAUAAAUCAAUUAUGUGAAACUCUGAAAUAAAAGACAUACUAUUUUCCAAAAGUCAAAACCAUUUGAUUUUGGGAAGCAAAAACCCAUCAUAAACCCUCUUAUUCUUUCUCUUUUCACUUUUAUAGUUCUCUCCGUCGUAACCGUCACCACCAAUGAUGUCUUCCCUUACUCCCUCCAACAAAAUCCGCGUUGGGCUUUCCUCCAAUCGUAACAAAAACAACAAUAAACCCUCUCUCCCCAAAACUAGCUCUCGUACACAACCCUCUCGCCGUCGCCGUAUCUUCAAAACCCUCUCCACCACCCUCGCCGUUUCCUCCGCAACUUCCAUCGUCCGCCAAAUUAAACCAAUUAUUCUCAACGGAAACGACGGCGGCUUUGGUGGUGGACAUAUCGGUGGUGGAAGUAAUGGUGGCGGUGGUGGUGGAGAUGGAAAUGGAGGAGGAGGAGGAUUCUGGUCUAGAUUUUUUAAACCGGCAGCAGCAAUUGCUGAUGAAAAUCAAUCUGAUGAGUUUGAUUCUCAUGGUAUGCCAGUAAAUAUUGCGAUUCAAUUGAACAAACUUAGUGGAUUUAAAAAGUAUAAGGUUUCUGAUAUUACAUUCUUUGAUCGGAAUCGGAAAACAAAUGUUGGUUCCGACGAUUCGUUUACCGAGAUGAUUACUAUUGUUCCGGGAGGAGUGUAUACUAAAACACAGCUUCAGAAGGAAUUGGAGAGUUUGGCAUCAAGUGGAAUGUUUGAGAAGGUUGAUUUUGAAGGAAAAACUAAUGCAGAUGGAACAAUUGGAAUCAAGGUUUUGUUUAGUGAGAGUACUUGGGAAAUUGCUGAAAAUUUUCGUUGUUUAAAUGUCGGUAUGAUGCCGCAGACAAAGCCGGUUGAAUUGGAUCCUGAUAUGACUGAAAGGGAGAGGAUGAAAUACUAUUUGAGUCAAGAGAGGGAGUACAAAAGGAGGAUGGAAAAGGCGAGGCCGUGUAUUUUGCCAAAGACGGUACAUAUGGAGGUUAUGGAUAUGUUCAGGAAAGAGAAGACUUUGAGUGCUAGGUUGUUGCAGAAGAUAAGGGAUAGAGUUCAGAAGUGGUAUCAUGAUGAAGGGUAUGCUUGUGCUCAAGUGGUUAAUUUUGGAAAUCUUAAUACUAAAGAGGUUGUUUGUGAGGUUGUUGAAGGAGAUAUUAGUAAAUUGUCUGUUCAGUUCCUCGAUAAGCUUGGCAAUGUCGUUGAAGGCAAUACUCAAACCCCUGUCAUACAUAGAGAGCUUCCCAAAGAGGUACAAUACAAUAUACAUUGCAUAGUUAUGUAAUAUUUUAUGUUAUGUUAUCUGUUAUAUAUGGGAGAUUCCUCGGCAUCUUUUUGUUUGUCGAUUUAGAGGGUUAUGUGUUUUUGUUAUCUGCUGCAAAAUUGAUAUUUCUAGUAUGGUUAAUUGCUUUCAAAUUCAAUGAUUUUAUUAUAUGCUUUGUGAUUUGUUUUUUUAUCGUAAAACUGCUCAUUGGUUUUAGUUACUCACUUGAUUGAUGUUUGUAUUGGAUUAACAGCUGUUUCCGGGUAACACCUUUAACAUUGAAGCAGGGAAGCAAGCUUUAAGAAACAUAAAUUCUCUUGCUUUGUUUUCGAAUAUUGAGGUUAAUCCACGGCCUGAUGAGAAUAGUGAGGGAGGCAUAAUUGUUGAAAUUAAGGUAAAAGAGUUGGAUCAGAAGACAGCUGAAGUCAAUACUGAAUGGAGUAUUGUUCCUGGACGAGGAGGGUAUCCCACCCUGGUAUUUCCAUAAAAUUAAACAUCAAUUUUCUUCAACAACUGAUGGCUCUUUCCUGCUCAAUUAAUCUGAUUAUUUGCUGUUCAAUUUUUGUUCAGGCCUCACUUCAACCUGGUGGAACUAUUAGUUUUGAGCAUCGGAAUCUUCAAGGACUGAAUAGAGCUGUUAGUGGUUCUAUAACGACCAGCAACUUCCUCAACCCUCAGGUACUCUUGAGCUAGUCUGCUGAGUUUCUUCAUUUUAUUCUACAAAUAGUUUUGUGUUUCGUCAAUAUUGGUAUCUGAAAAUGUUCAUCAUGUUUUCUCCUAGGAUGAUCUUGCAUUUAAGCUAGAGUACGCACAUCCAUAUUUGGAUGGUGUAGAUAAUCCACGGAACCGUACUCUCCAUGUAAGCUGUUUCAAUAGCCGAAAGCUAAGUCCAGUAUUCACUGGAGGGCCUGGGCUGGAUGAAGUGCCACCAAUAUGGGUUGAUCGUGGUGGUGUCAAAGCUAAUAUAACAGAGGCAAGUUACUUGUUCUUUAUUGUUAUGUGACCUCAUAAACCUUGGAGUGCCUAUUUAGGCUAAUGUGGUGAUUUUUUAUCUUAAAUUUUAUGGUUUGUGUGCCGAGCAGAAUUUCACGCCACAGAGUAAAUUCACUUAUGGACUUGUAAUGGAAGAGAUAACAACUCGUGAUGAAAAUAGUCAAAUCUGUGGAAAUGGUCGAAGAGUAUUACCUAAUGGUGGAAUUAGCGCAGAUGGACCUCCUACCACCCUCAGUGGUACUGGCGUUGACCGCAUGGCAUUUUUACAGGCAAAUAUCACUCGUGAUAACACACGUUUUGUGAAUGGAGCUGUAGUUGGACAGAGAAAUAUGUUCCAGGUGACUUAUCUAAUCCUAGCACUAAAUGUCUUUAAAGUUGCUCACAUUGAUGGUUUAUGCCUUUUUAUUAUUCUUGUGGGUUUUGGAAAUAGUGACUAAAAAAAGAACCAUUUCUGAAUAUUCUUUCAGCUUUUUUUUUUGCUAAAAAUUCAAAUCUUGACUUGGGUGGGGAAAUAAGAUGUUCUGAAGAAGACAAAGGGGUGUAAGGGCAGAGGCUGUAUGUCUGUACAGAUAGAUGCCGCAGUGUUCCUUAAUAUUUUCCAAAAUCAUUUAGAUUUUAUAUUUAUGACUUGGCCACAAUAAUCUUUUCACUUUGACUGCACACACAAAUGCCUCAAACUGACACGUGUUUGGAAAUAUAGAGCCUGUUAGAGAUAAUAGUUUUGUCAUGCAGUUGAACCAUGGAAGAAGUUAAAGUUCCAUUCUAAGUUUCUCCUUUUUAUCUGUUUUUUUUGGUUUGUAUGUUAUGUAUGAUGUAUGAUUGAAAAAACAAUCACCAAGCCUUCUUCCAUUUGGUAAAGUCCAUCACGUCAAAUUGAUCAAAAAACAAACAACGCCAUUAUUCCACAUUGCCAUGUAUUGAGUUCAAAAUAGACAAGUUUCCUCUAUAUCUUUCUUAAUAGUUUGACUCUUUUUUUNNNNNNNNNNNNNNNNNNNNNNNNNNNNNNNNNNUUUUUUUAAAUCUUCCUCAACCUUUAAAUAUUGGACUAUCCUUCAUCUAGUCAAUCCUCCUCACUGGUUUUUCUUUGGGUUCUCUCCACAUAUAUACCAACUAUCUAAGAUUUAGAUGAGAUUCUAGUAUUCUACAAUCUUUUUUUAGAAUGAGAGCUACUCCAAUUUUUCCUCUAAUAACUAUGUUCCUAAACCCACUUUGUUUUAUAUGACUACUAAACAUAAAAUUCUCAUCUUUGUGAUACUGGUUUUACUUUCUUGUUUACUCUUUGCUGCUAAUAUUCAGUCUUAUAGAGCAUUGUAUAUUUUUAUAAUUGUGUGCUAAAUUUUUCUUUUGAACCCGAUUGAUGCUUUUCUAUUAGCUCUCUCUCGAGUAAAGUUUGCUAGUUGUACCUUUUUGGAUCAAUACCGAAGUUGGCAUAUAAAACCUAUCUAACAUGACAGAAGUAGCUAGAAUAUGCUAUAAGGAUAUUACCUUACCUGUGCAGUGACUUGUAGUCAAUAGUGUGCCGUAGUGUCUUAGUAGAAUGGCCGGUGGCCGCUAUUGAAAGUCUGUAGCAGAGCUGUAACGACCGCUAUAGCAGCUAUUCGCACCACGACAACUGCUAAAUGUUUCAGGGUCAAAAUCUUGUGUUAUCAGUUUUUAUUUAAUUUUAUUUUUUGAAAUUGAAUUUUAAUGUUUAUUUACUGUAAGCCUUCAGAUGCUUUAACUUGUUUGUUUUAUNNNNNNNNNNNNNNNNNNNNNNNNNNNNNNNNNNNNNNNUUUUCAGCAUGUAUAUAUUAAUCUUUAAUAAGCAUAUAAAAUUCAGAAUAGCGCCCUCCGGCUGUAGCGCUUUUUAGCUUGGCCUCUAGGCAUUGUUGUCCUGUAUUGAUAACUAUGGAUCUUAUAUGAAUUCAAGAUGGUAAUGGUAGUUUAGUGUAUCGGAUCUUUUUGAGGUUAACUUGUUAGAGGAUCAUACCUCGGCUAAUGUUAGCAUGAUUCCAUCUUUUGGAUGUGGAAGCAUUCUUUUUAACCAACAACUAAACCUUUUCUAUUAUAUGACACCGGCUGGGUAAACCAAUACCGUUGAGUUCUACCUACAACACAUUUUCAGUUAACCCUUUUAAUUCAAGGUCCAAUUUGCAGUACCUUCGAGGACAAGAUAUUUAUGUUUUUUUAUUUAUUUCCUUCGAGGACAAGAUAUUGAUGUUUUAUUUAUUUAUUUUAGACUCUUGAAGUAUGCUAUACCAGUAUUUUCUGAUUACCGUUUCCACAAUUGCAAACUGCAGGUAGAUCAAGGUCUGGGCAUAGGCACCCAGCUCCCAUUCUUCAAUCGCCACCAGCUAACUCUGACACGAUUUAUCCAAUUGAUGUCUGUGGAGGAAGGAGCUGGUAAACGACCACCACCAGUGCUUGUCCUCCACGGUCGCUAUGGCGGUUGUGUUGGUGAUCUUCCAAGCUAUGAUGCGUUUACUCUUGGAGGCCCUUAUUCUGUUAGGGGUUACAACAUGGGUGAGCUUGGUGCUGCUAGAAACAUGGUGGAGGUAGGAAUGACUAGACUCAUUUUAUGAUUCUUCGUCAAGAUUUGAUUUUAGUUAAUUUUUAUUAUCUGUGUACUAAUUUCUUUUUCUAUCUACAGCUUGCAGCUGAGUUACGGAUACCUGUUAAAGGCAUGCAAUUGUAUGGGUUCGCGGAGCAUGGCAACGAUCUAGGGAGUUCAAAGGAUGUCAAAGGAAAUCCUACAGAAGUAUAUAGGCGAAUGGGUCAAGGUUCGUCUUAUGGUGUUGGUGCUAAGCUUGGUUUGGUCAGAGCAGAAUAUGCCAUUGAUCAUAACUCAGGAACUGGGGCAUUAUUUUUCCGUUUCGGAGAAAGGUUUUAAGUUGCAAAUUAGUCACAGUAUAUUGUAAAGAGGUUUUAUUAAACUACAUUUUUGGUUUAAUUGGACACAGUGCUAAUACUAGAGUAAUAGACUCUUUUCGUAAUGUUUGCUAUUAUAUUAGAUGCUUUUUACUUUUUGUGGCGCUGGCUAGUGAUCAUUACAAAGUCCACAAGUACAAAUAUGAACUUUCAUUGAUAAAUAUAGUUGUUUGAUGAUUUUUAUUUUGACAGUAUAAUUGUCUGAUGAUUAAGGAUUUAAAUAUUUGUCUGCAGAUGUAUAAUUAAGUAAAUUCGUAUAUCUCAUAUUUUGCACUUUUAUCCUAAAACAUGUUUGUCCAAUGUUCGCAUAAAAAGCUUUAGAGUUUCACUGUUUCCACAUUUUUUCAUGUCACCAAUAUAUAUCCCUGUUUGAAGUUGUAGCCUGGUAGUGAUUGGUAUCUGUUAAGUCAUUGUAUACAGUCAAGGUUAGGGAUCCAUUUAAAACUAAGUGAAUAAUGUUAGAAAUGUAUUUUGAUAUCAAAUGCAUACAGAAAGACAAACUUGAUUAACAUUUUGCAAUUCAAAAGAUCAUUUUAAAAUAUUGAUAUAUAAAAGACUAUUGAUACAAUCCUAUAAUUUCAAGGACUCUAUUGAUAUCAAAUGCAUACAGAAAGACAAACUUGAUUAAUUCCAUAUUUAGUCCCUUAUGUUUAUUUUAGGUUUCAAUUUAGUCUCUUAUGUUUAAAAAGUUUCAAAUUGGUCCCUUAUGUUAUUAAUCUCAACAUAAGUUGGUCUUUUUUGUUAAAUUUUGAGUUAAUUUUUUCUAACAUUUUGUUAAAUUUUGAGUUAAUUUCUUCUAAAACUUUUACAUGGUACUCUCCUAAGUGGUCCACGUACGCAAAUUCAUUAAACAAGUCGAUGAUUUAAACAAAAAUUUGACGAAAAGGACCAAAUUGAAACUUUUUAAACAUAAGAGACCAAAUCAAAACCUAAAAUAAAUAUAAGGGACCAAAUAUGCACUAAGCCUUUAUUUUUUAAUUAUAUAUCGUUACAAAAAUAAUAUUCAUGUGUAAAGUCCCCGCUGCAGAAUUGAUAUAUUACUUGUGUAACUGUAGCGUGAUAAUGCAUGCAUGGCAUCAUGAAAUUAUGGAAAGAAAUAAACUUCCUCAAGGAGAAAUAUGCUAUUAAGUGAGAAGAAAUAAUAUGCUGCUAUAAUAUUGUUGACUGCAUGCUUUAAAGAAAGAAAUAAAAAAUCAUGAAGAUGUGUAUGGUUGCAUGUUGAGGUGUAAAUUAUUUCAAAGCCAUGAAGAUGUCAUUGAAGACACUAUUGGCAUGCAAAUAUAACAUAUGUAAGUGCCAAGACAGUGGAAUGAAUUACAAUAAACUUGGUACAAACCAUACAGGAUAAGGACGAGGAAUAUCAUCAUGCUUUAAUUUCUUCACAGGAAAGUAUUUGAUGCUGCUAUCAGUCAAACAAAACAUUCCCAACUGUAAACUUGACCAUGGAUUUGCCGCACACCCAUGAUGAAAAGCAAAAUAGAUGAUAUUCCCUCUAAUUAAAUCUUUGUUGAAAUUAAGUUCAUCCCUUGACAUUACUAUGCUGCUCAAAUUACUAACAAAAGCCACUCUAUCUUCUAGCUCCACAUUCUGCCACCCAAUAGGAUCCUUGUUUGUGUCCAGCUUGAACAUUUCAAAGUUGUUAACCUGCAGUGGCUGAGCAUAAUCUGUGAAAAAUCUGAAACCGUUAGCGUUAAUAUGUCGAUUUUCAGGCGUUGUAACCACAUUACAGAACAUAUAAAUGAAGUAUAACUCUCUUAGUGCUUCAUCUUUGGCUAGAUAACAGAACACGCCAUUGCUACGCUGCCACUUAAGAAUACUUAUAAUUGGAAACUCGGCCAACACUUUAGCCUUUGGAGGUCCAUUAAUGGAGUCCUUGAGACAAUAAACCAAUAUAGAACUUGAGGAUGAGUCACUUACAGCUACAUACAAUUUUGUUCCAAUAAUUUCCACGUCCCUAAACCCUGAAUCCUUAUCCGACACAACUAUAGUCCAUGACUUUUCAAAGAGUUUAUAAAUUGCAAUGUGACAAAAAUCAUCGAAAAGACCGACUAAAUGACAAUCAGAAGAACCAUUGCAGUUUGGUUUGGAAGAGGCCACCAUUUUUUUUAAUUGUGGUUUUUCUCUAUCACCUCGGACGGGAAAAUACUCACAGGUGGGUGGCAAGGGCAACUUUGAUGGUAUCAUGAUUCUAACAUUGGUCACUGGAUUCCAGAAGAAACAUUUCACAAAAACUCUUUCAGAAUUGUCACUCAUAAUCAACCAUCCUUUAAUUGAGCCAAUACAUUUAUCGGCGUACCUCAAUGGUGGAGUUGCAAGGUGGUGAUGUAAACUUUUUUUACUCAAGCUGAAAAAGAACCUUGAAUAUUUGAAUUGUAUGAAAACUUGUGGCAUUUCAGGUAAAUGGUAGCAAUGCUUGUUUUCAAUGACAUUAGAAAUUGUUUUCCUGCAAGAACAGCAUACUGCUCUCAAUGCAAGGUAAUCGUUAAUGAACAAACCCUUUGUAAUCAGCUCCAACACAUCAACUGGUAGAUUUGUUAAUAUGUUGUUUUCUUCAAUCUCGCACUUUUCAUGAGCCACUGCAUAAAUGAAAUAUAAGUUUCUUCUGAUAUAAAAGGCCAAAUCUAAUUGAUGUGUAGAGACCUAUGAAACCCAAAUACUCAAAAGUUGGAGAUGUAUCCGUACCAGAUAGAUACUCAUAGAUUCGCACCCUAAGUAUAAAAAAAAAAUUACGUUUUAAAAAGUAUUUUGGAGUGUUAUUUUGACACAGCUUUUGUUACACAAAUCCUACUCAAACACUGUUUAUACAUACUUUUUGCUUUUUUCAUAGAAAAUACUGUUUAGGGUAUGAUGGGUUGCUCAAACGGUUUGAGCUAAGAUUGAAAGGAGUAAAGGUCUAAGUGUUCAAGUUAAAAUCUAACAAUAUAUGCAGAAGUAUAAAUAAUAUUAUAGUAAUUAAGUAAAAAUAUACAACUCAGAACACUACUCACACUAAAAUAAAUCAGUGCCGAAUAUGCAAGAAUAGACAAACCAGAAACUAAAAAAUAAAUGUAAGUCAGAGAUUGCACGUGUAUACAUACAAGAUUUACGAGGUUCGAUCAAUUUGCGUAGCCCUUUACGAGGUUCAGUCAAUUUGCGUAGCCCAUUAUACACGAAAAACCCUACUAUCAACAUGAGAAACCCUUGUCCAUUGAUAAGUUUUCUAAGUUCUUUGGUAGCUGGACUAAAUUGUGUUUUAACUUUGAUUAUCUGAUCUCUUCCUCUUUCUCCUGUUGGUAUCAUUGUUUUAGUCCUCCCAUUCGGUUUUUGAACCAUCGUUUGGUACCCAUAAACCUCUGCACUAUAUUUUCUCUUUUACAUGUGAUUAAUUUUUGAGUCAUAUACUCCACUCUUUAUAUAGACAGAUUUAGGAAUGUAUUGAAUUGAGAUUUUAAAGAAUUUUUUUAAAAAAAUAUUAAAAAAAAAUCUUGUGGUAUCCAAUUUAGAAUUUUAUAUAUUUAUAUAAUAUAAACAAAUCUUAUGGCUUUUUUAAUAAAAAUAAACAAAUUUUAUGGUAUUCAAUUAAGAUAAUCAAGAUUAUUUUUUUAGGGCAACAAAAUCUGAUGAUAUCGAAAAGUCUAUAUAUUUUGAUGGAUUCAUAGUUUUAGUUCAUAUAUUUCAUAUCUUUUUUUUUUGUUUUUUUAAAUGAGGAUUUGACUUGUUGGUUUGUUCACAGACUUAUUUUUUUAGCAAUUUUAUUUUUAAAAUUAUUAACAAUGAUGUGGCAAAGAGAUAUACUACUUUUUUUUUAUAAGAUACUACUUUUUAUUUAUUUAAGGGACUAUAAAUGUAUAAUAUACUAGUUUUUUUCUAUCAAAGAAAACAAAAUAAUAUAUUAAUUUUUUGGUAAGUAACAAAAAAAUAAUAAUAUAGUUUAAAAAAUGAAAUCUACACGUUUGUUUUUUGAGUAGAACAGUUUCUAUAUAUUUAUGUCUUCCUAUUUUUUUUUUUCCAUGGAUGAAGCCUUUAAAUAUCUUCAUUUUUUUCUAGACAUCUUCAUCUGUUUCUUGAAUAUACUUGGUGUGUUUGGUAAGUCCAAUAAGCUAGCUUAUAGCUUAUGGGACCAGCUUAUAAGCUUGUUUGAUAAAAAUGGACGUGUUUGGUAACAAGCUUAUCUAAUUAGCUUAUAACAUUUUUUGAGAUGCUAUUUCAAGUAGCGUAUGAGCUUAUAGCUUUUUACAUUUUAUUUCAUGUUUACCCUUAAAAUUAUAAACCAUGUACUUAUGUCAUUUUGUAUUUACAACAGCUAAAUUUGUCAAACACUUUAAUUUUAUUCUAUUAGCUUUUUAGCUAUAAGUUAGCUUAUAACUUAUUUUUACCGAACAGAGUCAUUAUAGAGUCAUUAUAGAUAAAUCAAUAAUAAUAAAAAGUAAAGAGAACUCUAUAAGACUUAAAGAAGAGCAAUUGAAGAAUACAGUAUCAUAAAGUUUCCUGGAAGGAAACUCACAAAUAUAAUGCAAAAAAUAAUUACUUACUUGCCUUCCAUAAAGGAUAUCACCUUGGCCGCUACAACGUUUAGGAGAACCAUAGACACUUACUGAUUUGACUGCAUAAAUAACAGACUCAAUCAAAUGGUUUCCAAACAUCUAAAGCUAUUCAGAGUAGCUUCUCAACACAAUCAGAAAUACAAUUUCUUUAGAUUCUUUUUUUCCCUUCAAAAUCUUAUCCAAACCAUGAAAGUUUCCAAGAAAAAAGGGUAAACAAAUGCAAUCAUUUUUUUUUAGCAAGAAAUCAAAGGAUCAUAAUCUGCCUUCACACUACAUAUGUCAUGAAUUAGCCAGAGCAUCAAACUGAAUACACUGCUUAUGAUAUAAUGAAUUUAUGGAAACAAAUGAAAUUGAACAGGAACACACACAAAUAUAACAUUUAUAAUAUGACUCAUUAGCCAGCUUAGCCCUUGAAAAUUUCAAUUAGCUGGAGUGAGUACUACAUUACAAUGCUGAUGAAGUUAGCAUUAGCCAAUUAUAUUUCAUAAUAUUGAAUGCAGCGGAAGAGAAACUUGUUUAAAUCUCUAAAUCCAUAUAAGUGGCAUGCUUUUUUGGAUUUACACAAGUUAGGAUGCUGAAAAAACAUGUUACAGUAAACAACCAACUAUACUAAUCAGAAACACACCUCAGAAAUAUCAAACAACAAGCAGAAAAACGAUUGGUUCUGUAAAACAUUCUGGCAUAAAAACCAGUGAUCUAAAAUGGGGAUUGGGACCUUACUGUUUGGCAAGAGAUAGCACUUGCCGAGUAGCAUCAUCGUUAUUUACUUCAGAACUCGGUACUUUCUGUACAAGUCGCUUAUAUUCAUUGAUAUUUGGGGUUAGAACAGCCAAGGCAUAGCCACUAACAAGUUCAAGAUGAUUUGUAACAAGAAAAAUCCCAUCCUGAAAUAUGCCGAAACAGUAAGCAAUAAGCGCAUGUUAAUCACAUUACAAUGCGAUGUCCAAACUUCAACAUACAUACCCCAUCUAUCACAAUUGGGAUGUUUGAUUUUCUUGCAUGCCUGAUGAUUUCAGUCACACAGUCCUGACAUCAUCAUGCAAAUGUUAGAUAAAUAAGCGAUUUGCAAGUGUAUAAUAAAACUGGGAUUGAGUGAUUCAAGCGAAGCUUAUGAAGAGAUAGCAUACCAGAAGAAAUGGAUCUCUUCCUAGGCCUGGACCAAUGACUAGACAGUCAAAUCUUUCUAACCAUUUGUCAACUUCAGCAAGAACUUUGCUUGCUAUGAUUUUCUUGUCCUCCUCCCUGAAAUCAGUCUCUCGCUAAAAUCAACAUUCACUAGGUAUUUUUUGAAAUGUGCAGUUCGGAAAAUGAAUCGAAGUAGUACCUGACACUAUAUGACUCUUCCAAAACCUGCACAAUCAACUCAGGACUGUAGCUUUUGAUGACAGGAGCAGCAUCUUUUGUACAGAAUACAUGUGACAAAUCUGCACCCUUCAUAGAUGGAAAAAAUAAUAGUAUGACAAUGAUUUCAUUCAAGAAAACUUUGAAAAAAGAGUAAAAAGAAAGAUUACAGGUACUAACAAUUUUUAAGGCUGAAAUAGCAGCAAAAUAUGGGGCACCUGUAUAUUCGCGGCACCCUCCAAUAACAGCUAUUUUCCCUGAUUUGAAAAAUAAGUGAGAUAUUCCUUAUUCUCUAUCCAGAUAGACACAAACAUCAUAUCAUAUAAACAAUACAAAGUUAGUACUCGAGACAUAAUUGACAAACAUAUUUCUUUCUUAAUUUUCUUGGAUAAACUAAACACAACUCACCACAGCCUUGGUAGGGCUUCAAUUGCCAAAUGUAAUGAAUUAGGAAAAAAAUACCCAACUCCGAAACUUGUUAUGCUAGUCAUAUUUGCAAUAAUCAGGGAAAUUUUUAUCACAUGGAAACAUUUAGAAACAAAAGGGAAGGAAACGACAUAGAAAGAGAUUGAAGGCGUAGCUCAAGUCGAUGAACCAGGACACUAGAUAGAAAGAGAUUAAGAGGAUGUCCGGGGAUUCAAACCCUGACUAGUGACUACUAACAGAAUUUUAAAUAAUGGUUGCAUUUGAGUCAGGAUACUUGAUAUUUCGGAAAAUCGCAACCAAUUGCUUGAUCUACAAAUUUGUGGACAAGCUGUUACCGGAACUUCCAAUAACAUAUGGGAGACAGAUUUCCCACGACUAUUGGGAGUCGUUCCUCCAUCUAACGGGCGAUCAGGAUNNNNNNNNNNNNNNNNNNNNNNNNNNNNNNNNNNNNNNNNNNNNNNNNNNNNNNNNNNNNNNNNNNNNNNNNNACUAUUGGUUGUCGUUCCUCCAUCUAACGGGCGAUCAGGAUAUUCUGUUAGGCGCUAGAAGAAUCUCUUAACGAAAUGCCCACAAACCCCACCAACGAAAUUCUCCUGAUGCACCUAAGGGCAUAUAUUCUUUAUUUUUUGGGAAAAUUUUUAUUGGCCAACACAACUGCCGACCGUGUGCAUACUAUGUACCUCCCACUGUUGGAAGAUCCACACACAAUAAGAGGAUAUAGUUAGGGUUCAGCUUGUUUGGCAACGUUGUAUAGGGGCAUGUGCGAUCUCGNNUUGGCUCUAAAGUAAGUAUCUACUAAUUUAUUUAUUUUUUAAUCAAUCUAUUAUUUAUUAAUAAUAAAUAUGUAUAUUUACUAUGAUAUUAAUCGUAUCGUGAAAAUAUUAUUUUAGGUACGUUGCUUCCAGAAAAAAGUACUCUGGCGGUCCGGACCACGAUGUACAGGGCGCUACAAACGUGCUCGAUCGUUUAACGGAAGACGGGGUAAUAUAUAUUCUCUUAAUAUUUCUUUGUUAUUUUUAAACUAAAUAAAUGCAUACACUAACAAAUCUCUAAUUUGUUAACAAAUCUCUAAUUUGUUUUUAAAAAUAUCAGUUUACUUGGACUCCUUAUGACGUCAGUCAGUGCUUGUAUCCAGAGGACGCUGCAUGUUGGUCAGCAACCACAUUUAUCAUUAACUUUGAGGUCGUAGAGUUUCAUCAGACCGACAGAGUCCGUCUCUAAUUUGGAUUUCAACAUGCGGGAUUUGAUGGCGUUCCACAAGUCAUGACUCGUUACCACAGAACAACAAUGCGAGCAGCGGUUCAUGAUUGGGCCCAAAUUUAUGGUUGAAAUCCAACAUUGGAAUAAUCGUCAUAAUUAUGUCCUUGUUGGAGAUCAAGUGGAUGGUGUACCUAUGCAUUCAACGGAGUUCUUGAAUACUUAUACAAGGUUCAACAUGCCAUAUCUCUCUUCCGAUCAUUAUUUAUUUGAUCCACGCCCACGUCCUGAUGUGCAGCAGCAUACAUUUACCCAACAUACCAUUUUACCAGACGCACCCACAUAUAGCCAACAACAUCAACAUACCGAUAUCCCAGACCCACCAUCUUAUACCCCUCAACAACAACAUACAUCUCAUUCACAACAACCAUUUACCCAACACCAACAACAAUCAUUUACCCAACAACAACCAUUUACCGAACAAUAUCCAAUGAGCCAAUCCAAUUUUUUUACCCCAUUGCCACUCACCCGAAAUUUUUUCGACGACCAACCAUUUGAAUCGNNACCAUUUGAAUCACCGGGAACUCAACGUUUCAAUGAAAAUGCUUACUACCCCGGUAAUUCUAUACAACCCCAACAAACCCAACAUAUCCCCGUAGAUUUAUCCUGGGGUUCUGCUGUACCGGACGAGAUGUUAAAUUCAAUGUGGGCUGCUGGUGAAGGUUCCUCGUGGUCUCAACGUCUUAGCAAUAUUAGCAAUAUGCUUGACGGAAGAAACAAAUCCAAAUGAGGAAGAGCAAUUAUAUGGACGAUGACAUCCGAGGAAUGCACGUCCUCCACCUUGUGGCACCGGAGGCCAACGUAGACAUUAGGAAUUUCAGUGUGUUUAUUGUAAUAAAUUAUUUAUAUCAUCAUCUUGUAAUAAAUUUUUUUUCCAUCAAAUAAAAAAAAUCAAUUUAUUUAUUCAUCAAAUAUUUGUUCAUCAAAUAAAUAUAAUUUAUUUUUUUCAUCAAAUAAAUAAAAUCAAAAUCAAAAAAAAUCAAAAAAUUUCAAACAAACACUCUUUUCUUUCUCUCCCUCCCAUGCAUUCAAACUUUCUUUCUCUCCCUCCCAUGCCAUGCCUUCCACGCGCCUGCACCAUGACAGCAAAAGACAAAAAAAAUUAUUCCCAGUCAAUGGCGCCAUUCUGAAUGUCGCUAUCCAUGUGGCAAUGGCGACAUUUGAAAUGUCGCUACCCAGGUGCCCUGCUGCAACGCCAGUUUUUGUCCCCUGAGAGGUGUAUUACGGGAAAUAAAAUUGAGAGGGGGGUAGGGGUAUAUUUUGGGAAAAAAAUCUUACAUCCUCCCCUUAUUCCUUCUCUUCUGUCCCUCUUCUAUACACAUGUUAGAGCCAUAUAAGAGUACACAAGAUGUCUCACUUAUGGGCAUCAUAAUCUGUAUUGUACAAUUAGCAGGAAUUGUACAAUAAAAAAUGUUCUAACAUGACUACAACUUUUCAGUUUCCCAUAUGAUUUUACAGACAUUAUUCAAGGUGUCAUAUGUCCAAUGGACUGCUGAAGAUUACUUAAGGUUGCUGAUAAGAAAGAUUGAAACUAGUCUAGCAUGUUUAACUGACAGAAAGACAGAAAAUCUUUAUCAAUUAUUUUUAAUCAUUGUAUGACUCAGGCACAGAAGUGGGCAAAAAGUCAUAUUUGCAACUGCCAAUAAAGNNNNNNNNNNNNNNNNNNNNNNNNNNNNNNNNNNNNNNNNNNNNNNNNNNNNNNNNNNNNNNNNNNNNNNNNNNNNNNNNNNNNNNNNNNNNNNNNNNNNNNNNNNNNNNNNNNNNNNNNNNNNNNNNNNNNNNNNNNNNNNNNNNNNNNNNNNNNNNNNNNNNUAAUAUUUAAUUAAAUAAAAUUUAACUUGUAAUUUGGAUAUCCAAAAACUGAUCCAAAUUAAACCGCACAAAAUUGGAUCGGAUUGGAUUGAAUUUUUUUAAUUAGCCAUCCAAAACCGAACCGAACCGCGAGUAAUUUUAACUUUGGAUCGGAUGGAUUUUUGCCACAAAACCGAUCCAAACCGAACCGCGAGCACCCCUAAUGGAUGUAAUGUAAGCAAUGUUCAUUUUUAUUAUUAAAAAAAUAAAUAUAUUAUGGAAUUUGUCCUUCAAAUCCAGUCCUUAAUCAAUUUCUUUUCAAUUUGAAUGCUCACGCCAGGAAUUUUAUUUCUUUAUAGAACCAGGUGAAAGGCGGUUGGGCAGCGAGGAUUUCCAUGAGGCCGAUUUGGAUUACAAACUUGGCCUGAUGAGGGACAUUGCAAAAACUGAUUUGUAGAGGGCUAAAGGGUGAUCAAUAUUAUCCGUGAGGGACCAAUAUUGAAUUUUUUGGGGGGCUCAAAAGAACAACAGUUCAAUUAGCUAGUACAUCAAAACUCCAAAAAUAAUGCUUUAAAUUUAUAAAAGAAAAUAGUAAUCAAUAAUCACCUCCAAGAAUACUUCUGCCNNNNNNNNNNNNNNNNNNNNNNNNNNNNNNNNNNNNNUUAUAAAAGAAAAUAGAGUAAUCAAUAAUCACCUCCAAGAAUACUUCUGCCAAUUCCGGUAAACCUCUCCAAUGAUUCUUGGUGAGGUUUAAUAUGUCACUAAGUAAACCGACUGCUGCAAAUGCAAUUGUUACACCAGAUGCCCCAGCCACUUCUAUAGAUGAGGACGCGGUAAUAACAUGAGCAACAAUUAUACCAAUAGGUACAAAAAAUAAACCACCCAAUGUGUGUGUCUUCCUUUUAUGUUGAUGUCUAAGAGGCCCUUGUUGCUUGAUAACAUGGAUAGAUUUAAAAUGACCAAAAAUUGGGACACAAACAUAGCCAACAAAAGAAACCAAAAUGGCUGAUAUGAGAAAUGGUCGAGUCAAGUAAAAAGGUGAUAACGGCAGUCUAACAAUUUUCCAUACACACCAAUCUACAUAUAAAAGCAGUACUGUCAAGCCGAUUACAAGCCCCAUAGUCAUGAAAAGGCCAACUUUGAUCCUGAAAAGAAUUAAAAUGUGAACUGGGUUAACGUAGCGUCACAGAAAAUAUAAAUACAAUCGAUAAUAACUCAUGUUAUAGCUGACAGAAAAGGCAAUCACGCGCUAACCGUGAAGAAGCAUUUCUGGCUCUAACAAAAAACAUGAAAUCUCAAGUCAUUUAGGACACCACCUACACAUUUGAUGUCUAUUAAUCUCCAAAUUUUCGUCUUUGUUGUGUUUUUUUGUAAAUUACAGGGACAGUACUAUACUUAAAUAUAAUACAUGUAGAAGAACUCCCAUUAUUUUUCUAAUAAAUUCCUUAGAGGCAGAAACAUAGUAAAAUAACAGCAAAUUUCUAGAAAACCAUAUAGUGCAAUAGAAUACUAGCUUUUCACUUUUCAANNNNNNNNNNNNNNNNNNNNNNNNNNNNNNNNNNNNNNNNNNNNNNNNNNNNNNNNNNNNNNNAUACUUGCCUGUGUUUCUUCUGUCCCCUCCCAAUGGUUACAAGCCGAUGCGCAGCCACCGUUAAAGCAUCCUUAUUUGAUGCAGAAGAAGAAGGCAAAUCAACAUCAUUCACUGGGGUAAGAAAGACAUCGCCAUCAAAGUCUUCACCGUCACUGGAUGAGAGCACAUAUGAAGUACUCUCUUCAGGACUUCAAUCAUCAAGUAUCGGAAAGUCAAAUGAAUCCUGUAACACAUAAACACAACAGAUGUCAAUGUCAUGACACUUGUCAGCAAUAGUAUAGAUAAAUCACAACUCAUGACAAGCAAUGAAUCGCUGGAGCCUUCAAGGGAUUCAUCGAGUUAAAUCCCAGAUAUAAACCCAGAAAAUGUAUGGAAGUGGAAAUACAUAGAAUUGCAGACUGUCACAGCAGUUCUGAAAAUUAGUCAAAUAACCAAAAGCACUUGUUGGCUAAAUGCCUUCAAACUAAAUUCUCAAUAUAAUUAAGAGGUUGACCUCUCUCGAUAAAUAUGUCAGCAUUGAUUGAUCAUCCAAUUAGUUUGUUAGAUGCAUUUAAAUCUAAAACUAACUGCAGUAAAUAUCUUUCAAAACUCAGUAUUAGAGAUCAAACUAUGGUUUCAGAACACCUCCGGUUAAUUUUCUCGAGAAUUUUAACACUAAAACUUGUAAAUACAAACCAGGUCAUAUGUGGAUAAUCAAUCUUGUCAGUGGUUUGAUGUUCAUAAACAACUUAAAAAUGUUAAUAAAUAAAAAUACUUGAUCAUUCCUUCAGAGAUCUAAUUAUCAAAGUUUUCUCCUAAUGAUCCAUGAAAUGGGACUAUAAGAGCAAGUAAGAAUGUUGAUAGUAUAAAGUUUACCUUGUCGAAGGCUUGGGUAGAGGCAUUACGUCGAACACAAGAGCUGUAAUGUUGAAUUACGAGUGGAUGUAACUGCAGAAAAUUGAAGAAUAAGAGAAUUAAAGAACGAAAUGAAUCAAAUAAACAUUGCGAUCAUGAUCACGAUUGAUUACCUUGAUAGCAGUGCAAUGGAGGUAGGAGGUGGAAGAAGAUGGAGGAGGAGGAGAGAGGCGAUGAAUAGGAGAGAGACGGAAAUGGAGAUUUAGGUGGUUGCGAAUACAAGAAUGAGAAUUCAUUGAUUCGUUGAACGUAAGUGAGAGAAAGUAGAUCUGAGGAGAGAAUGAAGAAACGGUGAUGAUGAAAUAGAAUGGAAUGGGGCGAGUAUAUUCCAUUUUGGAGAAAGAGGUUUUUCAUUUUUAUAUACGGAGGGAAAGUGUCGAAUAUGGUAGUUAAUUAAUUGCGACUUUGAUAUCAUCGCGUACCCGAAACCGUUUGCUUUGUUUUUGUAGGUUUCAAUCAAUAUCAAACAUGUAGGUUUCAUCCCCUCCAACAGAUUUCUCAUUAUGAAAUAUUGCUCAUUAUGAAACAUGUAGGUUUUAUCCCCUCCAACAGAUUUCUCAUUAUGAAAUAUUGCUACAAAGGUUCCUCAUUUCAAUCAAUAUCAAACAUGUAGGUUUCAUCCCCUCCAACAGAUUUCUCAUUAUGAAAUAUUGCUACAAAGGUUCCUCGUAUGGUGAGGAUUACCACAAGAAAAAAAGUUCAAAAUUCCCCAGACUAAUAAUCUUACAAUGUAGUUCCAAAUUCCCCAGACUAAUAAACUUACAAUGUUUUAGGCUCCACCAACACUACCUGUCACCAGAUUGAGCCACA